CAAUCUCUCAAGGAUGAUCAUGUGGUCGGUUCCCAUCAUGGUUGCCACAGAAUGUUUACGAGUGGUCACUAGAAUUCUGCUUCCUGGUGCUCCGCCUUUGAGAGAGUGUUUCAGCGGUUCCCAUUGUCCAUAAUUUUCUGUCCAGACAUCAUCUAGGACAAGAAGGAACCUCUUUCCCUUAAUGGAUUCAGAAACCCUUUGCAAAAGGGAUUGCAAUUCAACCAAAUCCGGUGCCCUCCCUUCAAGCUGCUCGAGGAUAGCUUUGCCUAUCCUAACCUCAUCAAAUGGAUCUGAAACACACACCCAUAUCUUCUCAAAAUGAGCCGUAACCUCAGCAUCAUUAAAAGCUAGUUGGGCGAGAGUUGUCUUUCCAAUCCCGCCCAUCCCUACUAUAGAGAUGACCUCUACGUCCCCUGCUUCCUGAAUACUUUCGCCCAGCAACUUGCUUACUACAGCUUCCCUUUCAUCAUCUCGACCAGUCACGAUUGAUUCAUCAACAAGGGAGGUACUUGUUAUUCGUUGGAGUUCAUCAGUGGCUCUGUACGGAUCAAAGCCAUACAUAGCUCUCGCUUUCGCAAUGUCAUCCACUUUUUCACAUACUUCUUUGAUCUUGAGGGCAAUGUCUCGACGUCGAACCACUUGAUUGAGACAAAAGCAAGGAGAUUUCAGGAAGGAACAUCGCAUCUUCUGUAGGCUGCGAGUAUUUUCUUCAGCUUCCUCCAUUUUCCAUGUAAGAAUUGCUGAGCUCCAUUCAUCUAGCACGUCAUCCAUAUCAUAACAUACAUCUUUGAGCUUGUCUACCCAAUCUCUUACAGCCUUAUCCUUCACUUGUUUUCUAUCUGCGUCUUCAAGGAUAGAUUGGAUAACAAUGAGAUUGCUUUUCAGCUUGUCGACUUCGUUUCUUCACACCCCCUACUAGGUUCACCUCUUCAUGUACCUAUUAGGGUAGAAAAGAUCAGAAAGUUCAAGCAGAGGAAACAUUUCUAUGAUUUCAAUACAAGUUUUUUUAUUUUAAUUUUUCGUAAUUAAUAGAUUAAAUAAUUUUUAUUAAUCUUUUUUUUUGCAGUAGUUGACACGUGCUGUGAAAUGGAUUGGCUAUAUUAAUAACUUAUAUAUAAAAUAUUUAUUGAAAACUUAUAUAUUAAAGAUAAUGCUUCUUUUUAUCAUCAUCAUGAUGAUAUCUCUCUGCACUCUGCUACUAUACAAGGAAGAAAAUGAAUCUUAAAUUGUUCCAAUCAAAGAAAUAUAGUGAUUAAAAGGAUCUGUAUUUGUUGGUAUUUGUAAAGUCUAUUUGGAAAUAAAUAUUCUUCCUUUAAAGUGAACUAAUUAUUUUAACAUUUGAUUGAUUAUUUUACCCUUAGCAGUUCAGUUUAAUGAGAGGAUUGACAACUCCUUUUUCCUUCUAAAGAUUAUUUCCAGAAAUAUGAAAAAUAAUAAAACAAUAAAAAUAAAUUUCCUUAAUAAAAUCCAAAUCUAGAUCUGAGUAUUUGAGAUUUUAUUUUAUUUUUAUGGUAGAGGAACAAAAAAAGACUUCAUUUUUAUAUUUCUUAUUCAUGUUAGGUUAAUUGGAUCAUUGCAAAUUGUAGAAAGGCAAUUACCUGUUGAGCAACGAUCCUCGUUAACUGCUCCAGAAUUGGCGAUAAAAGUGCCUCUGCCAUUUGUCUGUUUACUUUUAUUUUAUUUCUUAAAAAAAGAGAGACAAUGAUGAUAGGAUGAACAGAGAGGGAGAGAGAAGAGAGUAUGAGGGGAAGGAGGCUGCUGAUUUAGUUAGUUUAGAGCGGAGAAGCUAAAUGAAUAGCUAAAAAUAAAAAAUUAAUAUUUUAGUUUUUCUUUACUUGUUUUAUACACUCCAAGAAAAAAGUCAAAUAAAAUACUAAAAUACCUUUUUUCUCCCACAAAUGUUAUUCCUAUAUAUCUCUCAAAAGAGCCAAAAUUAAUCAAGUGGGGCCAACAAAAGAAUAAACCAAUUAAAUCUAGCCAUGUGAAAAAAAAAUAACAUCAAAAUCAUUAAAAAAAAUAAAACACUUCUUUAUUCUACUCUAAUAGAAUUGGCUUUUUAAAUGGCUUUUUUUCCAUUAGAAUAUACAUGAUAAAAAAAGUUAUAUUUAUACUAUUCAAAAUGCUAUUUUAUCAAUUUAUCUUUUUAAAAUAGCAUUUUACUUUGGAGAUGUUCUUAUAUGUGCUUAGGGUUUGGUGGUGAGGGUUGACUUUUGUUUCAAUGCCUGCGCUGUUUCUAACAUUUCAAUUCAGUCCCUAUAUUAUUGAACUUUUCAGUCUAGUGUCGGUCAGGGUUUUGUUAACAGGAAAAGGAUUGCAGGGAUGGCUGGUCUGAGUGAUGGAAGCUGGCUGAAGCUGGGGCUGUGUGGAUAUCAGUUAAAUUUUGAUGCAGGCUCUUGAACUAGAAACCAUGUAUUAGUUGUCUCAUAUAGGACACUUUACUAUUACAUUUUGAUGCUGGCUCUUGAACCAUUACCCUCUUCGCUCCAGUUGAGAAGAAUUUUUAAUUUAUAUUCCUGAUGAUCAUCGUUAUGCUAUGUAAUGUAGUGAUUCAAUCGCGCCAUUUCUUAUGUUUAGAAAUCUAUGUUUUGGUAACUUGUCUCUUGUUUUUUUUUUUUUCUUGUUGGGUUGCUCAGGUGCUAUCUACAUUGAUUCUGAUAUCAUAGUUUUGAAUUCAUGGUCUUCACUUAAUAACACGAUUGGUCUGGAGAAUUCUACUGAGAGAUUAUCGCAUUCUACUGAAAUUCCUGAAAUUGAUUAUAGCAUUCUACUGAAAUUCCUGCUUCUCAUCUGUUUCUCCAUUUCUUCUCUUCAUUUAAUGUUUAUCUGGUAUCAGUAGCAUGUGCUGGUCAUGGCAAAAAAGUAUGGAAGGAUUGCUGGUUUGCGUGAAUGGAGCUCCUUUAAAUGGGAGGUUCGUUUGUGAAGGGGAGCAAAUGGGUGUGAAAAGGACAAGAAAUGAGGAAAGAAUUCAUAUUGUCUGGACCACAUCACCUUCCUUUCUUCUUCUUUUUUUUGUUUUCAUUCCUUUUUUAUUGUCUCUUUCUACUUUUUCAUAAUGAAAUUCAGAUCUAAAUUACAGAGGAAAUCAGCAUGCUAGAUUCAGCAGCGUUUGGGGUCAGAAUGCCAUUGUUGGGAAGAAGACAACAAAUUAUGUGUAGCUUAGCAGCCAUUGUUGCUGCUUCAGGAACACCAAACUCCCUUGUCAAAAAACUGGAUCCAUAUGCAUUUUGCAAUUAAGUCAUUAUGCUUUAAACUCAUUCUAUGUGUCUUUCCUUACAAAAAAAAAAAAAAAAAAUGGUUAUUUGCUGUCUUCAAACCCGAGAGUUUCGUUGCGUUCUGUUUCAAUUCAGUCAGUCUUUAUUAGUCAAUGCUUCGUAGAACAGAGGCACCUCAUUGCAGAGUGCGGGUACAAAACUAGUGUUGAGGUGAGGUCAUAUGUCCUACCAAAAUGGAUUUUGAUCAUAAUAAUUAGAAGAAGAAAAAAAAACAACAUUAAUAAUUGAUCAUCGUGGCUACAAAAUGAAGUGGAACUAAUAAUUAAUGGAGUGUAUAUAAUAAUCAUAAUCAUAAUAAUACUAAAUAAAAUGAAUUACUAUGUGUAUUCUAUAAUUUAGUUAUAUAAUAUAGCAGAUCUGUACAAAUUAGUAAUUUCAACUUACCAAUAAAAAAAUUAUAGUAGAUUUUUACCGUGGUAUGAUUGCAAUAAAUAAAAUAAAAUAAAUUUACUUCACAGCAUUAAUAAUUUUUUAGUUUUUGUCAAACAAUAUCAACACACAUGUAUAUUAUGCAUUCACUCAUUUUUUUAAAAAUAAUUAUAAUAAAAUUAAUUAGUUAUUUAUUAUAAAAACUAGACCUAUAAGUUAUGUCUAAGCUGUUAAAAAUAAUAAAAAUAAAAUAAUUUAAAGAUAUAAUAUAUUUUAAAUAAAAUUAUUAGUCAAUCUAUAUCGAGUUGUUUUAUCUACUAAAUUAAAAAAUUUAAGUUUUUAUAUCACUUAGAAUACUUAUGUUGAAUUUAAUCCAUAAAAUCGAUGGGUAUCAUCUCUUACAGAUGAAUCGAUGGGUAUCAAGUUACAUGCCAUCUUGCAACUUCGAAUAACAGACCACUCGACUGGCUCCAAAAUCAAACCAUCUCCACCUCAUUCAACACGAUUUAAAAUAAUCAACACCACCUUUUUAUACAAUGUGGGAUUGAUGAGGAUAUAAAUCUACAAACUCCAUCCAAAGUCUCAAUCUUAUAGUGUUCUUAACUAGUAUAGUAACGCCUCAUUGGCAAGAACCCAAAUCACUAAUAAAAAUUACAACUUUACACCGAAUUUGAACAGAUUUCUACGAGCCGAUGUCACUAAACUCAAAUUACUCCUAAAAAUCUCAAUAUAAACCCAUUAACUACUAGACCAACACCUCAUUGGCUAGAAUCCACGUUGCUUUUCCACAACAAUCAUCAGCUUCUUCAAUUAGGAUGCUACAAGCCCUUGUCUAUAUACUAGCUUAAAUUGCGACAACCUUUGAUUCCGAGAGAAGUUUGGCCUGAUCCAACGGCAGUCAAUGCGUGCUCAAUCUGUACUAGCUUUCCGGUAGGACUGAAAGUAGUGAGAGAAAAGGAGUACUGGCGACCCAUGGUUUAAUGCUUCAACACGCAGAGAGGAAAAACUGAGAAUGCGAGCGUGUGGGAGAGAAAGAAAGGGAUAUUUACUUGGGGUCUUAACUCUGCUUUUCUUGUUGGAGAAGAAGGUGUUUUCUUACGAGGGCUUUUACAAUGGAGUAUUUUGGGCUUUUAUAACGGCAGCUUGGUUCUCUUUACAUUGAGCUCAAUGUUUUUCCCAGAAAUCUGCCCUUCAAAUCUGCAAACACAAACAAUCUUGUAAGGGUACAAGGGAAGCACUCAGAACUUGUAAGAAACUUUAAAAUGCUCAUUUAUAUCUCUCUUUGACCACUUUGCAAAAACUAAGAUUAUGCUCACUAGUCCACCAUCACUCUGAUUAUAGAAGCAAGACUCGACAAUUUAACAACUUAAAAUCACUAAGAGGAAAGAAAAGGAACCUUCAAGCACCUGCAAGUACAUUUGAUUGACACUGGGUUGAGAAACUUUCAUUCAUUUUCACUUAAACAGUAUCUCACAUAAUUUAAUCUCCUGAACUACUAACUAAAGUGUUGAGAGCCAAUUUUGACAUAGGUAAUAAGUUGCACAAGUUAGUAAGAAGUGGCUCAUUGAGCAACCAAAUUGCCAAGAUGUCUUAUUUCAAACCCAAGAACAGAGGAAUGCCUUAUUUUUAUUUUUCUAAGGAACUACAUAUUUGCCCCCCUCUUUUUUUCAGUUGAAACAGAAACAGGGUACAUGUACAACGUGUUAAAGUCAAGUCCAUAACCAGACCAAUUAAGAACAUUGACCUACAAGGAGUUCCACUGAAGUUCAGAUUAUAAGCAGGCAUGCUUCUAUCUCAAUUUACCACCCCGGGUCAAAUUUCACACUUAUCAGGACACUAUAACAACAGCAGAAACUUUACAAUUUCCCACCAAACAUAAAGAGAGCUUUGAAUCUACACACCCGCCUGCUACAAUCAUUCAUGACAGAUAUUUUAGCAAAAUUAAGGCCAGAGAAACACAAGCUAAAAAAAUGGAACUUCCUAAUUACUGAGAAGCAGGCAGAAACAAACCUGUAGACAACUCCAAUAUUGGGUGUCAGAUUCUGUAUUUUCUGAACCUGAAACAGGAAGCAAUUAAAUACCAUCAACAACCAACUCAAGUUACAUCCCAUCUUGCAAAUUAGAAUAAUAGACCAAUCAACUGGCUCCAAAAUCAAACCAUCUCCACCUCAUUCAACACGAUUUAAAAUAACCAACACUACCUUUUUAUACAAAGUGGGAUUGAUGAGGAUAUAAAUCUACACACUCCAACAUUCAAAGUCCCAAUCUUAGAGUCAUUGACUAGUAUAGUAACGCCUCAUUGGCAAGAACCCAAAUCACUAAGCUCAAAUUACUAAUAAAAAUUACAAAUUUACACCGAAUUUGAACAGAUUUCUACCAACCGAUGUCACUAAAGAAAACGCAAAAAAAAAAAACGCAAAAAAACAAAAGGGCUUCUUGAAUUUAAACCAAAGAAUAUAACAAAACCAAUAAAAAAAUAAUAAAUGUUUACUUACAGAAGAUUCAUCGACUAAAAUAGAUGGCAAUUUCUUCUCAGUUGCAACAACAACACCGCUUGCCGCUACAACACCAAAAAAAUAAUAAAAUCAAACAACAUGGUAUCUAAGCACCCAUCAACAACAGUAGUGCAUUCGAAAAUGACAAGAAAAUGAGAAAACAAGAGAGAGAGGAGCUUAAAUUGCAACAACCUUUGAUUCCGAGAGAAGUUUGGCCUGAUCCAACGGCAGUCAAUGCGUGCUCAAAUCUGUACUAGCUUUCCGGUAGGACUGAAAGUAGUGAGAGAAAAGGAGUACUGGCUAUCACCCAUGGUUUAUUGCUUAAGACGCAGAGAGGAAAAACUGAGAAUGCGAGUGUGUGGGAGAGAAAGACAGGGAUAUUUACUUGGGGUUUUAACUUUGCUUUUCUCGUUGGAGAAGAAGGUGUUUUCUUACGAGGGCUUUUACAAUGGAGUAUUAUGGGCUUUUAUGACGGCAGGUUGAUCCUCUGUACAUUGAGCUCAAUGAAGGCUCGGGACCAGUUUUGUUUUCAAGUAUUAUUAACAAAUAUUUAUUUAUUUAUUAAUAUACAUAAUUUUUAAUUUAUUUAAUAACAUUUAUAUAUAUAAUUUUUAAUUUAUUAUAUUUUUUGAACUAGAAAAAAUAAUUUUCCAGAUCGUGAUGUAUAUUUCUCACAUUGUUUAAAGAAGCUAAUUUAACAUUUUUGUUUAGUAAACUAAAUAUUCAACAACUUGGGCGACAAAUAUCUGGUUGCAGCGUGCAGAGAGUAAAAACAAAAUAACUCCCACAAAACCGUUGACCCAUUUUAGACAUGAAGCCAUAGUGUUGUUCGGGGCCCAGCACCGUAAGAGGAAGGCUCCCUCUAAAUUAUAAUUUGGCCCCCUUAAUUUUUUUUCCUUGCUCCGCCCCUGCAUGGAGGGUGGUGAGUUUUGGAUCUAUAAUUAUGCUCUCCAGCGUUUUAUUCAUUGGCUUGGACAGCCUGGCUAACAAUAAUAGCAUAACCACUGCAACAGUGGUUUACAAAUGAUACAUACCUCUUCAGCUUGCUUCCCUCAUUUAUUUGGAUUGAAUCCACUGAAACUGAGGUUUAAGAAUUUCUUGGAUUUAAUCCACUGAAACAGUUGCUUGAUCAAGAUCAUUGGCUUGUUUGAAGGCAGAUAAAGGCUUAAAAAAAAAAAAAAAGCGAAAGCAAGAAAAGGAGGAUGUGAGAAAUAAUUAUAGAUAUGAGUUCCAGUAGUUGAAACAUAUGAAUUACAUAUCAUUUUAUGUUGAGAGAGAAAGAGAGAGAGAGAGAGAGAGGAUGAGAGAGAGGUAUAUCACAGCUGCAUUUGAUAGACUAAAUGGUAAGUAGGAAAUAAAAUCGAAUUACAGUAAAAAGGUCACAUUGAAUGAAAUCCUCCAUGUAAGUAAAAAAGGUCCACAGAGUAAAUGGUAAGAAUUAACACCAAAGCAAAUAACUAACACUCAGAACCAAAUCUUUUACCGUUAAGAAUUAACACUGGUAGAAGAAUUUACCUCUUCCUGCUGGUUCUAAAGACUAAAGAAUUUACCUAUAUAGCAUCAAAAUUAAUCUUUGGGAUGUGAGAAAUCUUUUGCCAAUCUUCACCCAUCUCCUCUUUCCCGUAAUGUUUCCUUAGAUUGGGGCAUCUACAUAUAUUUAAUUCCUGUAGAGGCGCUGCCAAAACAUAGUCUGGUAGUGCUCUCAACAACGGGCACUGGUUAAUUCCCAAAUAUUGAAGUUGUGGCAUAAUGGAUAUUAUUGAAGUUGUGUUGGCAUCUUCUUCUCCCACUCUCCUUCCAAUUCCUUCCCACUCUUCUACUUCUUUGAGGAAAAAAAUGCCAAGUUUUUUUAAUUUGGGGAAAGCAGUGACCCUUGCAAUUUCUCCUUCAUUAAUACUGGCAUUCUCAUCUUUUUCUAUACCUAAAAAUCCAGCAUCCAACCUUCUCACCUUCAACGAGCUCAAUACCAGGAUUUCAAGGUUGGGCAAUCUCCCCAACGGAGGCAAGACCUCCGCGUUUUCGCCAAAAUCAAGUCUAAGCUCCUGUAAUCUGGUUAAUGUCAUCAUCCAAUUUGGCAAAUCCAACCCUCCGUACCUAGAUAUGGUUAGAUUUUCCAAGCCUGACGGAGGCCGUAAAGCUUCAAUUAAAGAGCCUUCAUUCAUUUGCAACUCUGUUUUCUCUCUGUCGAAAUCCAAUUCCAAACGAAGCAGGCUCUUCUUAUUCUUGAGUUGUGCUUCUGCAGCGUCACUCGCAUCUUCUUUACCUCCUCCUAGAUUCCGUAUACGAAGACUCCCUCCAAUGUGAUUCAAGUCUUUUAAUUCUCUUAGAUUAGCUGCUUUACUUUCAUUCUCACCACCACCACACACAGUAAACACAUCUAAUGUUCGAAGACAUGUUAUCCUCUCUAUUCCCUUUGGUAUGAAGGCCACACCUGAACGAUAAAUCCGGAGAUGCCUCAAUUUGAUAAGUUUUCCAAUCGCCUUGGGCAAUUCCUUGAGAGACCGACACCAAGUAACAUCUAGGGAUUGCAGAUUGCAUAAAUCACACGUGGUUUCUGGCAGGGACUCCAACUUUCCACACCAUGCCAAAUUGAGGUGUCUCAAAUGUAUCAAUUUCCCUACCUCGUUUGGUAUUUCUUUGAUAGAAGACUCUGACAAAUUCAAUGACCUGAUGCAUGUCAACUGCUUGAAUAAAUCAGGUAGUGCAGCUCCAAGCGAAGGGUCUCUAGUGUGGAUCAAGAGGCUGCGAAGACCUUUUGCUUUGUGAAUGGACACGGGAAAAGAGGUCUCGUUGGCCAACAUCAUGCUUAAAUGACGAACCCUUUCAAUUGAAGUCUCCACUGUUGCUUCUCCAAGGUAUUGACAUCCACUGUUAGACAUUCAUUUUUUGUCAUAUAUUGGGCAAAAUCAUGCACUAUAUCAUGCAUCUUGAAUCUGAUAAUUUCUAGACCAUACUUCUUACAAUCUUGGAAGAAAGAGCGUGCUACCAAGACUUGAAAGCACUCCUCUCCAACAAGCUCCAUAUCUCCACCUGAAGUCUCCUUGAGGUAACCUUGAGCCAUCCACAUCUUCACCAAUUCAUAUUUUCUCAUCUCGUAGUCUUUUGGAAACAUGGCACAAUACAAGAAACAUCGUCUUACCACAGAAGGUAAAUCGUAGUAACUCAAAAGCAAAGGUGGAAAUAGUCCUCUUUCAACAUGUUCUAGCUCCCACAGUUCGCUAGAUAAAACAUGUUCCCACUCUUCUCUUGUUCUUUUAGACUGCAUUAGACCUCCUAAUACCUUGGCAGCUAGAGGCAAGCCCUUGCAAUUGCUUGCAAUUUUGCCGCCUAUUUCUGUCAAUCUUUCGCGCUCAUCUUUGCUUCUUUUAUGGAAUGCCAACUGAUUGAAUAUUGACAUGCAUACCUCAUCAGACAAUUUCUCAAGGUUGAUCACGUGGUCGGUUCCCAUCAUGGUUGCCACGGAAUGUUUACGAGAGGUCACUAGAAUUCUGCUUCCUGGUGCACCGCCUUUGAGAGAGAGUUUCAGUGGUUCCCAUUGUCCAUGACUUUCUGUCCAGACAUCAUCAAGGACAAGAAGGAACCUCUUUCCCUUAAUGGAUUCAGAAACCCUUUGCAAAAGGGAUUGCAACUCAACCAAAUCCGGUGCACCCGCUUUAAGCUGCUCAAGGAUAGCUUUGGCUAUCCUAACCUCAUCAAAUGGAUCUGAAACACACACCCAUAUCUUUUUCUCAAAAUGAGCCGUAACCUCAGCAUCAUUAAAAGCUAGUUGGGCGAGAGUUGUCUUUCCAAUCCCACCCAACCCUACUAGAGAGAUGACAUCCACGUCCCCUGCUUCCUGACUACUUUCACCCACCAACUUGCUUACAACAGUUUUCUUUUCAAAAUCUCGACCAAUCACGCUUGAUUCAUCAACAAAGGAGGUACUUGUUAGUCGUUGUAGUUCAUCGGUGGCUCUAUACGGAUCAAAGCCAUACGUAGCUCUCUCUUUGGCAAUGUCAUCCACUUUUUCGCAUACUUCUUUGAUCUUAAGGGCAAUGGCGCGACGUCGAACCACUUGAUUGAGACAAGAGCAAGGAGAUUUCAGGAAGGAACAUCGCAUCUUCUGUCGGCUGCGAGUAUUUUCUUCAGCUUCCUCCAUUUUCCGUCUAAGAAUUGCAGUGCUCCAUUCAUCUAGCACGUCAUCCAUAUUAUAAC
rnacentral:lncRNA from 1 species